GACGAACGCUGGCGGCGUGCCUAACACAUGCAAGUCGAACGGGGUGUUCCUUCGGGGACACUUAGUGGCGAACGGGUGAGUAACGCGUGAGAAACCUGCCUUUCAGUGGGGGACAACAGUUGGAAACGACUGCUAAUACCGCAUAAUGUUUCGAGAGGGCAUCCUUUUGAAACCAAAGCUUUAUGUGCUGAAAGAUGGUCUCGCGUCUGAUUAGCUAGUUGGUGAGGUAACGGCUCACCAAGGCGACGAUCAGUAGCCGGUCUGAGAGGAUGAACGGCCACAUUGGGACUGAGAUACGGCCCAGACUCCUACGGGAGGCAGCAGUGGGGGAAUAUUGGGCAAUGGGGGAAACCCUGACCCAGCAACGCCGCGUGAAGGAAGAAGGCCUUCGGGUUGUAAACUCUUUACCAGGACGAAGAACGUGACGGUACCUGGAGAAAAAGACAACGGCGUAACUACGUG
rnacentral:rRNA from 1 species